UUGUAAUUGCACCGCUUGUCAGGCCAGCGUGCUAGCUAAGGUUAUCUUUUCCAAGGGAACCAACUCUCAAUCCAAAAUGGCGACGAAAAAACGACGGAAGUCGUAGCCUGGAGCUGAGCAAUGGCUACAUGGCCAAAAUGGUUCCAUAACUUCCAGUACAACAGUGCGAGUUCCUGUCAUCACCAGUCUGGAGACUGUCCUGUAGUCCAGGUAGAGAACACAGCGCCCAUUCACCUGGCACAAGAACUGCCGCACCUGAAAGCAAUGGUGUGAUCCGCUGCUGCUGGGCUUCCAGGGUCAACAGCUUGCACAUAACAGGGAGCCAUGCCUCUGACAACAAAACCCCAGCCCAGGGCAUCUCCUAUCACCUGUGUCGGCCGGACAGUUGGAACAAUGAAACACAGGCAAGAGAUUGCAUCUCACCACUGAAGUAGAAGGCAGCUGGACAAGAGGUGAAAAUCCAGAUGAGUGAAGCUGAAGGGAAUUCAAGCUGCCUCUACGCCCGCUGGUAACCUGUUUCAGAAUGGAAAGCACUGUUGUCUUCCUGAAGCUGACUUUUUCGCAGAACAAAUGGACUGUCAGUAUGAUUGUCCUCUUGUGUCGACACUGGUGCAUCUUCGCUGUCAUCCUGUUCACUUUCAUUUAAGAGUUCAGAUAGGCGGCGACGGCGGCGAAAAUUAAUGCAGAACUGGUAGAGCAGUCCACUGUCAAAGAAGUCGUGCUUCUUUGCCACUAGUGGUGGGUAUUGGGAAAGAGAGAGAGAACAAAACAACAGGGGAACACAUUUUAGAGUUAAUGUGAUGGUGCGUAAAGAGUUGUUGAGUCUAUUUGCUUUAGAAUGCAAAAUUCCCAGCUGGCCUCCCUGCAGCAGCCACUGACAGGCAGCUCAUUCCUGGUGCCAUACAUCCGAGGGCAAACGAGGACAUCCCUCACCGUGCUGAAUGAUGCCAUGCUCCUGCAA